GGCGGCGCGCNAACACAUGCUAGUCGAACNAGAACGGAUUCAGCAAUGGGUCCUACUAAAGUGGCGUACGGGUGAGUAACACGUGGGUAAUCUACUCUCAAGUGGGGGAUAACCCGGGGAAACCUGGGCUAAUACCGCAUAAUAUCCGCAAGGAUCAAAGGAGAAAUUCGCUAGAGAAUGAGCCCGCGGUCGAUUAGCUAGUUGGCGGGGUAAUGGCCCACCAAGGCUUUGAUCGAUAGCCGGUCUGAGAGGACGCACGGCCACACUGGAACUGAAACACGGUCCAGACUCCUACGGGAGGCAGCAGUGGGGAAUCUUGCACAAUGGGGGAAACCCUGAUGCAGCGACGCCGCGUGGGUGAUGAAGCUCUUCGGAGUGUAAAGCCCUUUCGGCAGGGAAGAGAAAAGACGGUACCUGCAAAAGAAGCCCCGGCUAACUACGUGCCAGCAGCCGCGGUAAUACGUAGGGGGCUAGCGUUGUUCGGAAUUACUGGGCGUAAA
rnacentral:rRNA from 1 species